rnacentral:lncRNA from 1 species
UAAAAAUUAAUUGCAGAGCGUAAGUGUAAAUGUAGGCGUCUCCCAUUUUUCCAACUUUGGUUCUUUAUAUAUUGCGUUGGUAGGUCUUGGCGGUUGAGAAAUUUAAGGAAGACUGGUUGAAUGAGGAUUCCACGGGGGAGUCUUACUGUUGGAGAGAUUUUAGGCAUGUUUGGGUGCCUGUGAUUGACUGUUUCAAAGCGUAAAUUCUGGCCGCGUGACGCUUGUCAUGGGCCUGUGACGGUUGUCACAGGCUGGGUCGUGACGGUCGUCAUGAAGCUUGUGACGGUCGUCACAUCAACAAUUUCUGUAUUCUGGUUUUUCUGCUUUUUCCUGUGCUUUCUCAUCUGUUUCUUCUUCUUUUUCUUCCUUUUCUUCAUUUUGCUCAUUAGUGCUUGGAGAUUUAAAUACCUGCAAAAACAACUUGAAUACUUGUGGAAUAAUCGGAAUAUUAAUUGAAAUGGUAUUAUCUUUGAGUGUAAAUCAAGGCAAAUAUCUGAUGUAUUUUCGCAUUAUCACCUUUCAAAAAACCACGCCAUCUAAGUAUCAACAUUGCUCAAUCAACUUCUUGCAUUCAUUACAUUCUGGAAGCGGAAUCUGAUCAUCAUUUUUUUCCUCCAACUGAACCUUGAGACUUGCCACUUCUUCUACAACUUUUCCCAACUGAAUUUUGCUUCCUUUGAGUUGAGUUUCCACCCCUAGCCUCUGAGUGUUCUCCUCUUCAAACUGGACAUCUUUGGAUCGGAGUAGCUUCUCUAACUCUUCGAUCUUGGCUCUGUAUCUUUUCUCCAUCUUGGCUUUGGAUGCUUUAAGAACUUCAUAAUCUCACGCUUUUACUUGAUCUUCUCUUCAACUUCUUCAAGAAUCUUCUUAUGAAGUUCAACAUAAACAAACGUGCUUCGUCUACCAUCUUCAAACCUUGGUCUCUUUUUAACUUUCACAACCCCAUUCAUUUCUCUUUGAACCUUCUUGAGCUUGUGGAACAAUUGAGCUUUCCCUUGAUUGGCCACAAGAAGCUUUACCCCUAACUCUUCAUUCUUUGCAAGUAGUCGGAGAUUCUGAGCUUGAAUCUGGUCAUAAGAUCCAUUAGGCACAUCAUCUGGUUGAUCAGGCUCUUGUGGAUACAGAGGAUCCUCUAGAGAGAAAGGUCAGUGACGAUUUUUGUUCCUCUCCUCAAUCCACUAAACAUAAGGUGAAUAUACCGUGUAAUCUUUCUUCCCAAAAUAUGUUCCUCCUUUUAGAUGAAUACUUCCACAUGCUUUGGAAGCUCUUUCCAUCCCCAUAGUACUAUUAGGCACAUCAUAAAACAAGUAUUCUUGCACAUAUUUGUCUUUAUGGGGAUAUUUCAAAGCAUACCCUAAUUGUCUUUGAGAAAGAGUUAGGUUGUAAUUAAUGCCACCUCUCAUCCCCAUGAGAGGCACAUUG